UGAAUACUCCCUCCGUCUGAAAAUACUAUUCAUCAAAAUAGACAAAAAUGAAUGUAUCUAGAACUAAAAUACAUCUAGAUACAUCCCCUUUUAUUUAUUUUGAUGAUAAAUAUUUCCGGACGGAGGGAAUACAAU
rnacentral:pre_miRNA from 1 species